rnacentral:rRNA from 1 species
AUAAGCGGAGGAAAAGAAACCAACAGGGAUUGCCCCAGUAACGGCGAGUGAAGCGGCAACAGCUCAAAUUUGAAAUCUGGCCCCAGGCCCGAGUUGUAAUUUGCAGAGGAUGCUUUUGGCGCGGUGCCUUCCGAGUUCCCUGGAACGGGACGCCAUAGAGGGUGAGAGCCCCGUACGGUUGGACACCAAGCCUUUGUAAAGCUCCUUCGACGAGUCGAGUAGUUUGGGAAUGCUGCUCUAAAUGGGAGGUACAUUUCUUCUAAAGCUAAAUAUUGGCCAGAGACCGAUAGCGCACAAGUAGAGUGAUCGAAAGAUGAAAAGCACUUUGAAAAGAGGGUUAAACAGCACGUGAAAUUGUUAAAAGGGAAGCGCUUGUGACCAGACUUGCGUCCGGUGAAUCACCCAGCUCUCGCGGCUGGGGCACUUCGCCGGCACAGGCCAGCAUCAGCUUGCCGUCGGGGACAAAAGCUUCAGGAACGUGGCUCCUCUCGGGGAGUGUUAUAGCCUGUUGCAUAAUACCCUUCGGCGGGCUGAGGUACGCGCUCCGCAAGGAUGCUGGCGUAAUGGUCAUCAGCGACCCGUCUUGAAACACGGACCAAGGAGUCAACCUUAUGUGCGAGUGUUUGGGUGUUAAACCCCUACGCGUAAUGAAAGUGAACGCAGGUGAGAGCUUCGGCGCAUCAUCGACCGAUCCUGAUGUUCUCGGAUGGAUUUGAGUAAGAGCAUAUAGGGUUGGACCCGAAAGAAGGUGAACUAUGCGUGUGUAGGGUGAAGCCAGAGGAAACUCUGGUGGAGGCUCGCAGCGGUUCUGACGUGCAAAUCGAUCGUCAAACAUGCGCAUGGGGGC